CUUGAAUUGAAUGGUUUCUCAAAUGUUUUCUUCUUUUUUGGUGGUGGGGACAAUGACUCAUGCUGUUCAAGAAAAAGGAACAUAAACAAAAGUGAUGUUGUUGCCUUAAAGAACAGACGAAAAAGAUACUAUACUGGAUUUAUGUUUUUGAUUGAUCGGGAAUCUAUAUCAGCAACCGCUAUAGGAGAUGCUUGCUACUAAAGAUG
rnacentral:sRNA from 1 species